AGCCGCGGUAAUACCGGCGGCUCGAGUGGUGGCCACUAUUACUGGGCUUAAAGCGUCCGUAGCUUGGUUGUUAAGUCUCUUGGGAAAUCUGUCGGCUUAACCGACAGGCGUUUAAGGGAUACUGGCAAUCUAGGGACCGGGAGAGGUGAGAGGUACUCCAGGGGUAGGAGUGAAAUCCUGUAAUCCUUGGGGGACCACCUGUGGCGUAGGCGUCUCACCAGAACGGCUCCGACAGUGAGGGACGAAAGCUGGGGGAGCAAACCGGAUUAGAUACCCGGGUAGUCCCAGCCGUAAACGAUGCGCGUUAGGUGUAUCGGUGACCACGAGUCACCGAGGUGCCGAAGGGAAACCGUGAAACGUGCCGCCUGGGAAGUACGGUCGCAAGGCUGAAACUUAAAGGAAUUGGCGGGGGAGCACCACAACAGGUGGAGCCUGCGGUUUAAUCGGACUCAACGCCGGAAACCUCACCGGAUAAGACAGCGGGAUGAUAGCCAGGCUGAAGACUUUGCUUGACUAGCUGAGAGGUGGUGCAUGGCC
rnacentral:rRNA from 1 species